GAACGCUGGCGGCGUGCCUAACACAUGCAAGUCGUACGAGAAAUCCCGAGCUUGCUUGGGAGAGUAAAGUGGCGCACGGGUGAGUAACGCGUGGGUAACCCACCUUCGAAUCUGGGAUAACUCCGCGAAAGCGGUGCUAAUACCGGAUAAGACCACAGCCGUUUCGGCGGCAGAGGUAAAAGCUGACCUCUCCAUGGAAGUUAGCGUUCGAGGACGGGCCCGCGUCCUAUCAGCUUGUUGGUGGGGUAAAGGCCUACCAAGGCAGCGACGGGUAGCUGGUCUGAGAGGAUGAUCAGCCACACUGGAACUGGAACACGGUCCAGACUCCUACGGGAGGCAGCAGUGAGGAAUUUUGCGCAAUGGGCGAAAGCCUGACGCAGCAACGCCGCGUGGGUGAAGAAGGCUUUCGGGUCGUAAAGCCCUGUCAGGUGGGAAGAACCGUUUCGAUACUAAUAAUGUCGAAGCCUGACGGUACCACCAGAGGAAGCACCGGCCAACUCCGUGCCAGCAGCCGCGGUAAUACGGAGGGUGCAAGCGUUGUUCGGAAUUAUUGGGCGUAAAGAGCGUGUAGGCGGUCCGGUAAGUCAGAUGUGAAAGCCCUGGGCUCAACCCAGGAAGUGCAUUUGAAACUACCAGACUUGAGUACGGGAGAGGAGGGGGGAAUUCCCGGUGUAGAGGUGAAAUUCGUAGAUAUCGGGAGGAAUACCAGUGGCGAAGGCGCCCCUCUGGACCGAUACUGACGCUGAGACGCGAAAGCGUGGGGAGCAAACAG
rnacentral:rRNA from 1 species